AGAUCAUGUUAGGGGAAAUUUCUGAGUAAACCCUUGUACCGCUCCCAUGCUUCGUAUAAAAGACUCCCCCAGUUGUUGCUCAAAGUUGGCUAUUGCCUUAUUGAGUUU